rnacentral:rRNA from 1 species
GACGAACGCUGGCGGCGUGCUUAACACAUGCAAGUCGAGCGGUAAGGCACCUUCGGGUGUACACGAGCGGCGAACGGGUGAGUAACACGUGAGUAAUCUGCCCUUCACUUCGGGAUAAGCACCGGAAACGGUGUCUAAUACCGAAUACGACCAGCCCCGGCAUCGGGUGCUGGUGGAAAGUUUUAUCGGUGGAGGAUGUGCUCGCGGCCUAUCAGCUUGUUGGUGAGGUAACGGCUCACCAAGGCUUCGACGGGUAGCCGGCCUGAGAGGGUGACCGGCCACACUGGGACUGAGACACGGCCCAGACUCCUACGGGAGGCAGCAGUGGGGAAUAUUGGACAAUGGGCGAAAGCCUGAUCCAGCAACGCCGCGUGAGGGAUGACGGCCUUCGGGUUGUAAACCUCUUUCAGUAUCGACGAAGCGCCUUUAACGGUGGUGACGGUAGAUACAGAAGAAGGACCGGCCAACUACGUGCCAGCAGCCGCAGUAACAC